rnacentral:rRNA from 1 species
UACGAAGGGUGCAAACGUUGCUCGGAAUUAUUGGGCGUAAAGCGCACGUAGGCGGCUUUGCAAGUCCGAUGUGAAAUCCCUCGGCUCAACCAAGGAAGUGCAUCCGAAACUGCUGUGCUUGAGUACGAAAGAGGAUCGCGGAAUUCCCGGUGUAGAGGUGAAAUUCGUAGAUAUCGGGAGGAACACCAGUGGCGAAGGCGGCGAUCUGGGUCGAUACUGACGCUGAGGUGCGAAAGCGUGGGGAGCAAACAGG